UAGAGUUUGAUCAUGGCUCAGGACGAACGCUGGCGGCGUGCCUAAUACAUGCAAGUCGAGCGCGGGAAGCAUACAGAAGCCUUCGGGUGGACGUAUGUGGAACGAGCGGCGGACGGGUGAGUAACACGUGGGCAACCUGCCUACAAGAUCGGGAUAACACCGGGAAACCGGUGCUAAUACCGGAUGAUACUUCGUAUCACAUGAUGCGAAGAUGAAAGACGGUUUCGGCUGUCACUUGUAGAUGGGCCCGCGGCGCAUUAGCUAGUUGGUGAGAUAAUAGCUCACCAAGGCAACGAUGCGUAGCCGACCUGAGAGGGUGAUCGGCCACACUGGGACUGAGACACGGCCCAGACUCCUACGGGAGGCAGCAGUAGGGAAUCUUCCGCAAUGGACGAAAGUCUGACGGAGCAACGCCGCGUGAGUGAUGAAGGUUUUCGGAUCGUAAAACUCUGUUGUAAGGGAAGAACAAGUACGAAUUAACUACUCGUACCUUGACGGUACCUUACCAGAAAGCCACGGCUAACUACGUGCCAGCAGCCGCGGUAAUACGUAGGUGGCAAGCGUUGUCCGGAAUUAUUGGGCGUAAAGCGCGCGCAGGCGGUUCUUUAAGUCUGAUGUGAAAUCUUAUGGCUUAACCAUAAGCGUGCAUUGGAAACUGGAGAGCUUGAGUACAGAAGAGGAGAGUGGAAUUCCACGUGUAGCGGUGAAAUGCGUAGAGAUGUGGAGGAACACCAGUGGCGAAGGCGACUCUCUGGUCUGUAACUGACGCUGAGGUGCGAAAGCGUGGGUAGCAAACAGGAUUAGAUACCCUGGUAGUCC
rnacentral:rRNA from 1 species